AUAAUUUUAUAAAUGUAGGGUUUGAGAUGCAGUGAAUUAUGUGAAAUGGAGACAAAUAAAUAAAAAUAAAAACAGAGAGUCACAGAGUUUGAAUGAGAGUUUCGCUUCCGGUCAAUCCAGAAAAUCAUCAGUAUUUCCCGGUACGAGAAGAAAGCUGAUGUUUAGAAAUGUCUAAACCCAAAUUAGUGGUGUUUGACCUCGAUUACACCCUGUGGCCUUUCUGGGUGGAUACAAACGUCGAUCCUCCUUUCCGCAAAGAUCAGAGUGGGAAGGUGGUGGACUCGUGCAAUCACCAUAUCCGGCUUUAUGAAGACACCGUAGACAUCCUGCGCUUUCUGCGCUCUCAGGACAUCCAGAUCGGCCUGGCCUCGCGCACAGGGGAAGUGGUUGGAGCCAAUCAGCUACUCUCACUGUACAGCCUCGACCAAUACAUUUCCUUCAAAGAGAUUUACCCAGGGUCAAAGGUCACGCACUUUACGAGGUUGCAGGCAGACAGUGGAGUGUGCUACACAGACAUGAUGUUCUUUGAUGAUGAACACAGAAACAUCAGUGAAGUCGGCAGGCUGGGUGUGUACUGUGUCCUGGUUCAUGACGGUGUUACCUCUAAACUUGUUCAUGAUGAGCUUCAGAAGUUCAUGAAGAAGAGCUGAGAGUGGAAACGUCCGCUGCAGUGUACACUGUGUCCUGUAGAGGGAAGCAGAGAUCAUCACUGGCUCAUCAUUGCGUACUGUAACACUUCUGGAAGAGUGUAUUUAUUGACUUUAAAAAAAAACAGCAUGAUGUGGAAAUGUUAGAAAAAAUCUGGUUAUAUUUACACAAAGUCAUUAGAGAGAUCAGUGUAUUAGAGAAAAUGUUUACAGAGUUAACUGUUAUAUCCACCUAUUUUUAAAUGUCUGUUACUGGUAACGGAAAUAUUUUUAAAAGUAUUUUAUAAUAAUAAAAUAAACAAAAUCCA